AGGACCUGCCCUGGCCAGCCUGACAUAAAAGGGCAGCUCUAGUCUGGCUUGGACUGAUCAGGGCUCAUCCGGGCACAGCUGACCAUGAGGUUCCCUGCUCAGCUCCUGGGGCUCCUCCUGCUCUGGGUCCCAGGAUCCAGUGGGGCCAUCGUGCUGACCCAGACUCCACUCUCCCUGUCAGUCAGCCCUGGAGAGCCGGCCUCCAUCUCCUGCAGGUCCAGUCAGAGCCUUGAGAAAUAUGGAAGCAAUUUGUUGAGUUGGUACCAGCAGAAACCAGGCCAGUCUCCACAGCUCCUGAUCUAUGAGGCUACCAACAGGGCCUCUGGGGUCCCAGACAGGUUCAGUGGCAGUGGGUCAGGCACAGAUUUCACCCUGAAAAUCAGCAGGGUGGAGGCUGAGGAUGCAGGCGUUUAUUACUGCCAGCAAAAUAAAGAAUCUCC